UGUGCCACUUGGAAGAAUACUAUUCAAAGUAAUAAAUAAAUGAAAGAAGGGCAUGAUAAAUAGCUUAAAAUCAGUCACUAUUCAUCACCUUCCAUCCUCAAAAAAUUUCGUGCACCACCAUAGGGUGAAGAAGUAGCUCCUUUCUUCCAUAUUAUCUUCAUUUUACGGUGAAUCGAAGAGCUAAAUGCACCAACGGGGGAUUAUCAAGGUUAGUCGGCAUUGGGGAGUAUCGGUCGAUGUUUAUUCAAGUCUGCGUCAGUGCUGCAUCCUCGUCGGGUCACUGAACGUUAUCUAUGGUAUAUAGUGGUGGCAUGUUUAGAAAUCAGAUUAUGAUAUUCUAAAAUCAGUUGCGUUGUAGUUUAAUGUUGAUAAAUUAAUUUUCGAGGAAAUAUAAACUUAUAUGCUUUUGUAUGUAA